rnacentral:rRNA from 1 species
UUUGGUUAAGUUAGAAAGGGCGCACGGUGGAUGCCUUGACACUAGGAGUCGAUGAAGGACGGGACUAACGCCGAUAUGCUUCGGGGAGCUGUAAGUAAGCUUUGAUCCGAAGAUUUCCGAAUGGGGAAACCCACCAUACGUAAUGGUAUGGUAUCCUUAUCUGAAUACAUAGGGUAAGGAAGACAGACCCAGGGAACUGAAACAUCUAAGUACCUGGAGGAAGAGAAAGCAAAUGCGAUUUCCUGAGUAGCGGCGAGCGAAACGGAACAUAGCCCAAACCAAGAGGCUUGCCUCUUGGGGUUGUAGGACAUUCUAUACGGAGUUACAAAGGAACGAGGUAGACGAAGCGACCUGGAAAGGUCCGUCGUAGAGGGUAACAACCCCGUAGUCGAAACUUCGUUCUCUCUUGAAUGUAUCCUGAGUACGGCGGAACACGUGAAAUUCCGUCGGAAUCUGGGAGGACCAUCUCCCAAGGCUAAAUACUCCCUAGUGAUCGAUAGUGAACCAGUACCGUGAGGGAAAGGUGAAAAGCACCCCGGAAGGGGAGUGAAAGAGAUCCUGAAACCGUGUGCCUACAAAUAGUCAGAGCCCGUUAACGGGUGAUGGCGUGCCUUUUGUAGAAUGAACCGGCGAGUUACGAUCCCGUGCGAGGUUAAGCUGAAGAGGCGGAGCCGCAGCGAAAGCGAGUCUGAAUAGGGCGUUUAGUACGUGGUCGUAGACCCGAAACCAGGUGAUCUACCCAUGUCCAGGGUGAAGUUCAGGUAACACUGAAUGGAGGCCCGAACCCACGCACGUUGAAAAGUGCGGGGAUGAGGUGUGGGUAGCGGAGAAAUUCCAAUCGAACCUGGAGAUAGCUGGUUCUCCCCGAAAUAGCUUUAGGGCUAGCCUUAAGUGUAAGAGUCUUGGAGGUAGAGCACUGAUUGGACUAGGGGUCCUCAUCGGAUUACCGAAUUCAGUCAAACUCCGAAUGCCAAUGACUUAUCCUUAGGAGUCAGACUGCGAGUGAUAAGAUCCGUAGUCAAAAGGGAAACAGCCCAGACCGCCAGCUAAGGUCCCAAAGUGUGUAUUAAGUGGAAAAGGAUGUGGAGUUGCUUAGACAACUAGGAUGUUGGCUUAGAAGCAGCCACCAUUUAAAGAGUGCGUAAUAGCUCACUAGUCGAGUGACUCUGCGCCGAAAAUGUACCGGGGCUAAAUACACCACCGAAGCUGCGGAUUGAUACCGAAUGGUAUCAGUGGUAGGGGAGCGUUCUAAGGACAGUGAAGUCAGACCGGAAGGACUGGUGGAGUGCUUAGAAGUGAGAAUGCCGGUAUGAGUAGCGAAAGACGGGUGAGAAUCCCGUCCACCGAAUGCCUAAGGUUUCCUGAGGAAGGCUCGUCCGCUCAGGGUUAGUCAGGACCUAAGCCGAGGCCGACAGGCGUAGGCGAUGGACAACAGGUUGAUAUUCCUGUACCACCUCUUUAUCGUUUGAGCAAUGGAGGGACGCAGAAGGAUAGAAGAAGCGUGCGAUUGGUUGUGCACGUCCAAGCAGUUAGGCUGAUAAGUAGGCAAAUCCGCUUAUCGUAAAGGCUGAGCUGUGAUGGGGAAGCUCCUUAUGGAGCGAAGUCUUUGAUUCCCCGCUGCCAAGAAAAGCUUCUAGCGAGAUAAAAGGUGCCUGUACCGCAAACCGACACAGGUAGGCGAGGAGAGAAUCCUAAGGUGUGCGAGAGAACUCUGGUUAAGGAACUCGGCAAAAUGACCCCGUAACUUCGGGAGAAGGGGUGCUUUCUUAACGGAAAGCCGCAGUGAAUAGGCCCAAGCGACUGUUUAGCAAAAACACAGCUCUCUGCGAAGCCGUAAGGCGAAGUAUAGGGGGUGACACCUGCCCGGUGCUGGAAGGUUAAGGAGAGGGGUUAGCGUAAGCGAAGCUCUGAACUGAAGCCCCAGUAAACGGCGGCCGUAACUAUAACGGUCCUAAGGUAGCGAAAUUCCUUGUCGGGUAAGUUCCGACCCGCACGAAAGGUGUAACGAUUUGGGCACUGUCUCAACCAGAGACUCGGUGAAAUUAUAGUACCUGUGAAGAUGCAGGUUACCCGCGACAGGACGGAAAGACCCCGUGGAGCUUUACUGUAGCCUGAUAUUGAAUUUUGGUACAGUUUGUACAGGAUAGGCGGGAGCCUUUGAAACCGGAGCGCUAGCUUCGGUGGAGGCGCUGGUGGGAUACCGCCCUGACUGUAUUGAAAUUCUAACCUACGGGUCUUAUCGACCCGGGAGACAGUGUCAGGUGGGCAGUUUGACUGGGGCGGUCGCCUCCUAAAGUGUAACGGAGGCGCCCAAAGGUUCCCUCAGAAUGGUUGGAAAUCAUUCGUAGAGUGCAAAGGCAUAAGGGAGCUUGACUGCGAGACCUACAAGUCGAGCAGGGACGAAAGUCGGGCUUAGUGAUCCGGUGGUUCCGCAUGGAAGGGCCAUCGCUCAACGGAUAAAAGCUACCCCGGGGAUAACAGGCUUAUCUCCCCCAAGAGUCCACAUCGACGGGGAGGUUUGGCACCUCGAUGUCGGCUCAUCGCAUCCUGGGGCUUUAGUCGGUCCCAAGGGUUGGGCUGUUCGCCCAUUAAAGCGGUACGCGAGCUGGGUUCAGAACGUCGUGAGACAGUUCGGUCCCUAUCCGUCGUGGGCGUAGGAAAUUUGAGAGGAGCUGUCCUUAGUACGAGAGGACCGGGAUGGACGCACCGCUGGUGUACCAGUUGUUCUGCCAAGGGCAUAGCUGGGUAGCUAUGUGCGGAAGGGAUAAGUGCUGAAAGCAUCUAAGCAUGAAGCCCCCCUCAAGAUGAGAUUUCCCAUAGCGUAAGCUAGUAAGAUCCCUGAAAGAUGAUCAGGUUGAUAGGUUCGAGGUGGAAGCAUGGUGACAUGUGGAGCUGACGAAUACUAAUAGAUCGAGGACUUAACCAUAUAA